rnacentral:rRNA from 1 species
CUUAUCCUACGGGGGGCAGCAGUAGGGAAUCUUCGGCAAUGGACGAAAGUCUGACCGAGCAACGCCGCGUGAGUGAAGAAGGUUUUCGGAUCGUAAAACUCUGUUGGUAGAGAAGAACGUUGGUGAGAGUGGAAAGCUCAUCAAGUGAAGGUAAAUACCCAGAAAGGGACGGCUAACUACGUGCCAGCAGCCGCGGGAAUACGUAGGUCCCGCGCGUUGUCCGGAUUUAUUGGGCAUAAAGCGAGCGCAGGUGGUUUAUUAAGUCUGAUGU